rnacentral:rRNA from 1 species
CCUACGGGUGACAGCAGUGGGGAAUAUUGCACAAUGGGGGAAACCCUGAUGCAGCGACGCCGCGUGAGUGAAGAAGUAAUUCGGUAUGUAAAGCUCUAUCAGCAGGGAAGAAAAUGACGGUACCUGAGUAAGAAGCCCCGGCUAACUACGUGCCAGCAGCCGCGGUAAUACGUAGGGGGCAAGCGUUAUCCGGAUUUACUGGGUGUAAAGGGAGCGUAGACGGGAGUGCAAGUCUGGAGUGAAAGGCGGGGGCUCAACCCCCGGACUGCUCUUGAAACUGUACGGCUGGAGUGCAGGAGAGGUAAGGGGAAUUCCUAGUGUAGCGGUGAAAUGCGUAGAUAUUAGGAGGAACACCAGUGGCGAAGGCGGCUUACUGGACUGUAACUGACGUUGAGGCUCGAAAGCGUGGGGAGCAAACAGGAUUAGAUACCCCAGUAGUC